rnacentral:rRNA from 1 species
AUGCAAGUCGAGCGCCCCUCCUUCAAGCGAGCUUGGAGGAUUGAGAUCGAGCGAAGCCGAAGGGCUCGCUUGAUGGAGGGGAGCGGCAGACGGGAGAGUAACACGUGGGAACGUACCCUUUGGUUCGGAACAACCCAGGGAAACUUGGGCUAAUACCGGAUAAGCCCUUACGGGGAAAGAUUUAUCGCCGAAGGAUCGGCCCGCGUCUGAUUAGCUAGUUGGUGGGGUAAUGGCCCACCAAGGCGACGAUCAGUAGCUGGUCUGAGAGGAUGAUCAGCCUCACUGGGACUGAGACACGGCCCAGACUCCUACGGGAGGCAGCAGUGGGGAAUAUUGGACAAUGGGCGCAAGCCUGAUCCAGCCAUGCCGCGUGGGUGAUGAAGGCCCUAGGGUUGUAAAGCCCUUUCGGCGGGGAAGAUAAUGACGGUACCCGCAGAAGAAGCCCCGGCUAACUUCGUGCCAGCAGCCGCGGUAAUACGAAGGGGGCUAGCGUUGCUCGGAAUCACUGGGCGUAAAGCGCACGUAGGCGGAUUGUUAAGUCAGG